GUCUUGUGAUUGGUCUAGAAGAGCUGCUGGCCCUCUAGAGAGACACCAGCACUGAUUGCAUAGGCCUGACUCAGCUUUUCCUCCUUCUCUGUCCGUGCUUUGCUGGCAAGCUUACUAACAUUGAGUGCAGCUAGGGGAGGAGGGGUUUCUGUUCGGUCAUUAAUUAUUUCCACUUCGGAAACAUACUGUAAGUUUAUGAGCAAGAUGUCUGCAUGGUUGGGCUUUCCAUUGGAAGAGGGACAUUUUAAAGCCAGCAUUUUGGAUUGGUGGUCAAAGGCUACCACCUCGCCCUGCAGCCGCUGCUCCUGGCACGCCCCGCUCCACACCUGGCUCCCAACGCUAUAUACUCGCCGGGAGGAGCCGCCAUCUUGGGAGUGCAGCCGCGGCCGCCCGGCGGCGGCGGCGGCGGCAGCAGCGGGCGAAAGCCGGGCCCCCAGUGAGCGCCGCGCCGCGCCGCCAUUUUGUGGAUUUUUAUCUCAGUUCCAUCACUUUGAACAGUUGGGAUCAACUCAACAAUAUUUAAAGUGGGCUUUGCAGAGCAUCUUGUGGACAAAGUACAAGGGGAAGGAGCCAGACCCUCCCCAUGGCCAUGCUUUCUCUGAAACAGCCCUGAUGACGUACUUUUUCAUGCUGAGGUCUGAAAGGAGGAAGUCUCAUCUGCCCAGAAUGUUUCCUGAAGCUCCAACCCCAGAAGUUGAGACUCUGCUGAUAUUACAGCAUGAAAAUCUUCAGUAACUGAUUCCAACUGUUGCAGCUGCAAAGAAUUGCUUUGCUAAGUAAACGCAUUUAUGGAUUUGGCCACAUUUUGUUGUUUGCUGCCUUCAAUUAUUACAAAUUCAUUCUGCUCUCUGUUUUCCAAGGUAAGAGUGGAUAGAACUGAUAUGGAAAUGGUUUUAGCAAUGUGUUAGAUUUUUUAAAAAUUAUCUGUAGCUCCUUUUAAAAAUAAAACAUUUCUUUUUCUCUCAGCAGUAAAAUAUUUUCAUUGAUGAAAAAUUUGGAAAC
rnacentral:lncRNA from 1 species